rnacentral:misc_RNA from 1 species
GAGUUCAGUCUUCCCGGGCCCACCACUUUCAUCGAGUGAGCAUUCGUCUUCUGGUUACGGGGCCAUAGCUCAGCUGGGAGAGCGCGUGCUUUGCAAGCAUGAGGUCGUCGGUUCGAUCCCGUCUGGCUCCACCAGAUGGUUUGAUCACCUGCGACUGACCGUCGUCCGCGAAACAUCACUUCGCAUUCACUAGUCUGGAUAGACAGUGAACUGCGUGUUUUCUGACAUCGUAAAGAGGAGAUCGAUCCGAGUUGGGUCGUGCAGCAGAUUGUUGCGCGGAUCCUUCAUUAUCUCCGGAUCAUUUUCGGCGCUCGCUUUCAGCCGUGAGGCUGAACGCGAGUUGUAAAAUGAUCCUUUUAGCGAAGCUUGACCGCCUCGCUAUCGGAACGAUCUUACGAAGCAAGCUGGUCUUUCUAGUCAAUGUCCGGCUGUGAGAAUAGCGCUCGUCGAGGGCGCGUGCCGCAAGGCGGUUCUUACAGGCAGCAUUCUGCCGAGUGUGUGGACAUUGAUAAUGAGAGCAAUCAAGUGCCUUAAGGGUGUUCGGUGGAUGCCUUGGCGCUGAGAGGCGAUGAAGGACGUGCUACGCUGCGAUAAGCCGUGGGGAGCUGCGAAGAAGCUUUGAUCCGCGGAUUUCCGAAUGGGAAAAACCCGGA